rnacentral:tRNA from 1 species
UGGCGGGUAGCUCAACAGUAGAGCACCAAAUUAUUGCCCGAAAGGGACGCAGACCGAGGGUUAUCGUUGUAAUCGAAUCAUCCCUUUGUCGCUGGAGGUGCGGGUGCAACUCCCGCUCCGCUAC